UUCAAGGGUGCGAGGUAUAAUUUGAAAGGGGCAAAAAUCUUCCAAAUUCUAUGGCGACAGUUGUUUUCCCUCUCAUUCUCAAUACUUCCACAACUCCCUCCCAAUUCACCUUCCAAUCUAACAAAAUUCCAAACCCUAAUUUCACUUCUCUCAAUUUCAAUUUCAACAAACCCUUAUCAUCACGUUCCACCCCUUCCCUUCGCGCAACACACAAUGAUUCCAACAACCAUGAAACUCUUCAAGAUGCCGAAGUUGACAAUUUGGGAGUUAAAGCUGCUCUUUCCAUUUUGAGAUUCUACAAAAGGGAAAUUUCGCCAAUCUUGCCGAGGAGCUGUCGUUACGUUCCAACUUGCAGUGAGUAUUCCAUGGAGGCAUAUAAGAGGUAUGGUGUUUUGAAGGGUACAACUUUGACCGUGUGCCGUCUCUGUCGUUGCAAUCCUCUUGGUGGGUCUGGAUUUGAUCCUCCAAGAUGGUUUGGUGAGAUUAGACAAGGGGAAGAACUUGACGAUUGAUUAUUUUCUAGUGGCAUAUUUUGAAUCGAUCUUACCACAUCAGAUAAAUUAGAUCAGGGAGAAUGAUAGCGGAGGUUGGACUAUUAUUGACGAUGAUCAAAUUAAAUGUCUUUAUAUUUGUACUGCAAAAGAAAAUACGAGGCCAGAAAAUUUUGCAGCUGGAAGAAGGCUAUGCAAUGUGAGUUAGAUGCAUUUAUCCGCAAUGAGACUAAGUUUUGUUGAUUUGCCUCCUGGUAUUGGUAACAAAUAGGUUUACCAAUACCUUGACUUAUGAGGUGAAGGUUCAUGAUAGCUGGAUGUUCAGGGGCAUUAUGAAGCAAAGAGAUAAGAUUGGUACUGUGCAACAUGACUGGAACAAAGCUGUGCUUUUGGGGAAAUUCAGAAUUACUACUUUCUACAACCUACUGAAUGAUGAUGGCCAUUGUGUUCCUUGGCAUAGCAUGAUUCAACACAAGGCUAGACCUAGAGCUAUAGUGUGUCUUUGGAUGGCUUGUCAUGGUAAAUUACCCACAAGGGAGAGGUUGAGGAGAUUUGGCAUGAUUCAAGUCAGUCACUGUGUGCUUUGUGGUAUUGAGGAGGAAUCACAUGACCACUUAUUUUUCAAAUGCAGUAAAACUGAAUCUAUUUGGAAAGAAGUUCUAAACUGGAUGGAGAUGGAUCAUAGGCCCCAAGAAUGGGCAAAGGAACUCGAGUGGUUGACCAUAGCUACCAAGAAAAAGGGAUGGAAAGCCUCCUUACUCAGCAUGGGCAUUGCUGAAACUGUUUACAACAUUUGGAGAAUGAGGAAUAGUAUAUGUUUUAAAGAUGAUGUGGAUAACACUUGUAUAUUUGAUAGGAUUAAAGAGUGCAUUGAUAGAAUUAAAGAUAGCAUUGUAUAUAGGGCUUGCCAUAGUACCAAAUUGAGACAUCAUAUUGCUAGGAUAAUGAUGUAAUUUUUGCUGUUUUUUGUCUUUAGGAUGGUUGGAUCUUUUAAUGAUCGCCAUGGGCUUGUAAGGUUUUUGAAUUAAAUAUCAAUAUAUAUUCUUUGAUUAAAAAAAAAACAAAUAGGUUUACAAAAUCAAAUGCUUUAGCGAUCCAUCUAUUGAAAGAUUUAAAUCUAGUUUAGUCGCAAUGAAAUACAACAUCAAAGUAGAGGGAUGGGAUUUGUUAGACACUUCCUUUACUGAAUUCCAUCUAGCAAUUUAUUUAUAAUAUAGUACUACAACCAAUAUUAUUCUCAACAAUUUAUUUAAUCUAGCAAUUUAUUACAACAUCUAAAAAACAAAAACUACAUUUAUUCCAUCUAAAGUUGAGUAAUCAGCUUCAGCUUCUUCUCAAUGUUUUAUGGGGCUUCCUUAAGCAGUUACUGUUGUCUCCUUAGCAAGGUUCCCAGUGUAAACCACUUCUGAUUUCACGUCAGCCUCCCAUAGAUCUGGCACUGCUUCAGUAAGGUUAUGGAUGCUUUCCAAUGCAUAAUCCGCACCUUGAACUUUUUGCGAUGUACCGACCUGGAUAUUGCAGUCAAUAUGUAGUUCGUAUAAGUUGUGACUCGUUAAAAGGCAUCAUAUGAUAGUUACUAGUUGUGUUGUUAAAUAGAAGUUAUAGCGAUAUAGCAUAUCCGAAUCUGAAUAGAUUACUAUUGAUCCGAGAUAUGUUAUUAUGUAGUACAAAAUGUUGUCAAUUAGCGGCACUAUAGCACAACUGCAUAGCAGAAUUUGUAUAAAUUGCUAUUGUCUGCGAUUGACAACAUUGGUUUCUAGAGUCAAAGUCAGUUUCCAAUGACUUACCAGCACAGUGUCAAGUCCCAAUCGUUUUCCAGCUUGAACGUUGCGGACACUGUCUUCAAAGAACAACUGAAAAUGACAUAUAGAACAAAUGAAAAAAAUAAGCAAGCAAAGAAAAUAAAAAGGUACCAAAGUUAGACCGUAAAGGGCGAUUUUCUUACAGUUUUAUGUGGGUUAAUAUUGGCGAUGUUGAGAGCCAAUUCAAUGGCUUUUUCUGACGGUUUGCAAACAACUGGUGUCUUUGGCAGGGUUCCGCUGGGAUUUUCCUGAGCAAAAUGGCUUAUGAUGUCAAAGAUCUGAGAGUUUCUUGCUCUAUUACUAGAUGUCGGCUUAGUUGUGCUUGCUGAGCCUGCAAACUCAUUGUCAUCAUCCUCAGAGACACCGCCCUUGUUAAUUGGAUUAAGGGUCUCGAAGCAUAUAAUUCCUUCAAAGCAGUCUUCUAAUCCAAGUAUGUUUAGUGUCUUAAGAGCAUGAACUUUGUCUGCAUUUGUGAAGAUCUAUCGACAAAAACAACAGAAGCAAUAUUAAUUGUCAGAUUUUAUUA